rnacentral:rRNA from 1 species
UACGGAGGAGGCUAGCGUUGUUCGGAAUUACUGGGCGUAAAGCGUGCGUAGGCGGUUUUUUAAGUUGAGUGUGAAAGCCCGGAGCUCAACUCCGGAACUGCGCUCAUGACUGGAAUACUUGAGUCCGAGAGAGGUGAGUGGAAUUCCCAGUGUAGAGGUGAAAUUCGUAGAUAUUGGGAAGAACACCAGUGGCGAAGGCGGCUCACUGGCUCGGUACUGACGCUGAUGCACGAAAGCGUGGGGAGCAAACAGG